AAUAGAAUUCGAGCGGAACAGUUGGGUUCUUGCGCAGUCGUCGCGUGACGUCAUAUGACGUCAGGUGUAUUCGCAUGCGCACCUGUAUUAUGAUGGUUCGUAGUUCGUAGAUAAAUCGUUCACCUACGCUACUUUUACUGACGUUCAGCAAAGGAAAUCACUCAGUAUUAGCAAUUAAACGUGAUUGACUCUUAUUUUUAGUACCAACAAAUUAAUGUUAAGUGUUGACAAGAACUGAGCGCUUUCUCUGCCAAACGCGGACACUUUGUACGCAGGUAUAAAAUGCGAUAAUGUACGAUAUAAUUCCGAACACGCCGUAUUGAUUGCGCGACUGGCGGGCAACUUCAAGUUUAUAAAUAAUUUUGUUUGUAAAUAAAAUGAGAGAUGAAGUGUAAAAAAUGUGCUGACAUAAAAUUCUAUAUCAGUACGAUUAUCCAGACGAUUUCGACGAGCAGGAAUUUAAUUUAAAGACUUGGCAGCAACUGCUGUGACUCUGUUUUAUUUGAGAUAUCGACACUCCAGGUACUGGUUCGUUUAUUGUGCUACUAAUGCUCUCAGUGUGAUACAAACGAUGAUAAAAUGUCCAA